rnacentral:rRNA from 1 species
UACGUAGGUGGCAAGCGUUAUCCGGAAUUACUGGGCGUAAAGCGCACGCAGGCGGUCUUUUAAGUUUGACGUGAAAGCUCCCGGCUUAACUGGGAGAGGUCGUUGAAGACUGGAAGGCUUGAGGCAAUGAGAGGGGUGUAGAAUUCCCGGUGUAGUGGUGGAAUGCGUAGAUAUCGGGGGGAAUACCAGUGGCGAAAGCGGCACCCUAGCGUUGUUCUGACGCUCAUGUGCGAAAGCGUGGGGAGCGAACGGGAUUAGAAACCCUUGUAGUCC